rnacentral:rRNA from 1 species
UACAGAGGUCUCAAGCGUUGUUCGGAUUCAUUGGGCGGAAAGGGCGCGUAGGCGGCGGGGUAAGUCGGGUGUGAAAUCUCAGGGCUCAACCCUGAAACUGCACUCGAUACUGCUCUGCUUGAGGACUGGAGAGGAGACUGGAAUUCACGGUGUAGCAGUGAAAUGCGUAGAUAUCGUGAGGAAGACCAGUGGCGAAGGCGGGUCUCUGGACAGUUCCUGACGCUGAGGCGCGAAGGCCAGGGGAGCAAACGGG